GCCGGAACGGCCGCGCUCGGCCGCGCUUUCCGGGGGACGGCGGCGCUGAGGGACCGGGGGCCCGGCCCCGUCAUGGCCGCGUCCCCUGCACGGCGCCGCCGCUGGGAACGGGAGCAGGCCCGGCUGAAGGCCAGCGUGGUGGAGGAGGACACCGAGGAGUGGCAGAAGGAUCCCCAUUUCUCCGGGCUGCAGAGAGUGGGAGGUGUGGAUUUAUCCUACAUCAAGGGGGACGAGAGCCGUGCCUGUGCCUCCCUGGUCGUGCUCAGCUUCCCGGCUCUCGAGGUGCUGUACCAGGAUUGCUGCAUGGUGGCUGUCACUGCCCCGUACGUGGCCGGAUUCUUGGCCUUCCGAGAGGUGCCUGUCCUGGUGGAAGCUGUCCAGAGACUUCAGCAGAAGGAACCCCAGCUCCAGCCUCAGGUGCUUCUGGUAGAUGGGAAUGGCCUGCUCCAUCCCAGAGGUAGGCUGUUCCUGGAGAGCCCUGCUCCCUGUGCUGCUCCUUGGUAUUCCUGUUCUCUGGUGUCCUGCAGCUACAGCAGCCCCUUGUUGGCAGGGUUUGGCACAGCCUGUCACCUCGGAGUCCUGACAGACCUGCCGUGCGUUGGUGUGGCCAAGAACCUCCUGCACGCGGAUGGCUUGGUCAGGGAUGAGCUGCACAGGGAGCAGGUUCGUUCCCUGCAGAGGUCAGGAGAGACAUUCCCACUGACUGGCACCUCGGGGAAGGUCCUGGGCAUGGUGCUGCGGAGCUACAACAACAGCUCCAAGCCCCUGUACGUGUCCGUGGGCCACCGGGUGAGCCUGGGCACGGCCGUGCGCCUGGUCAGGGCCUGCUGCCGCUUCCGCGUCCCGGAGCCCAUCCGGCAGAGAGAUGAAAAGUCCAACAGGGAAGUGUGUUUACUCCAGAGGGAUGGCAGAAGCUGAGGACACUUAAACCUUCCCAUGGGACUUGUCCCUGCAGCACUUCCUCUGAGUGGUGACUGCCACAGCUCUUGGCACGGGCAGAGCUGAAAGCCUCAGCUCUUGAGCACCUGCAGCUGCAGUUAGGAAGUAGGAGGCUAUGGAGAGUCCUGCCAUGGGUGGCUGACAUGGCCUUUUUGCCAUGGUAUGUCUCCAGAAGUUGCAGCCCUGAUAGGAGAAGUGCUUACAGAUUUCCCAGUGUCAGGAAUGACCUGUGGAUCAUCAGGUCCUGGUCUGGGAGUUCUGGCAGCCCUGGAAAUGAAAUGGUGUGUGAAAGCUCAGCUGCCCACAGCUCCUGAGGUUUGUGUGAGGGCACACGUGCAGUGCAGCCGCUGUGGGAGCUCAGCCCUCUGCUUUGGGGGCUGUGGUGCUUCUCAGGAGUGCAGCAUUAUCCAGGAAGGGUUCCAUUUGCAUUCAGCUCACAGUGGUGCUGUGCUGCCAAGGAACUGGCUGUGGUGCAGAUGAGAGAAGUGAGAUCUCAGAGGAAGCAGAGGGAUGAACUUCCCUUGUCACCUGCAAUCAGUGUUUACAUCCUUUUUGCACGUGCCAGUGGCAGGCCCAGCCAGGAGACCUGAGGUCCUGCACAGAGCUGGUCCUUCGGAGCUCCCAGGCAGGACUUGGGGUAGGCAGGGGCUGCCAUCCCAGAAUAAUCAGCACAGCGUUUGCCCUGUGUGACCCUGGAACAGUCCCAGCCCCUGCUGGGAGAGCAGCACAGGGACCACCCUGGCCCCUCAGAUAUCGGGCAAAGCACCAUUUCCACAGCCAGCACUCAUCCCCUCUGGAAAGAGCCCAGAUCUGUGAGGAUUGUUGCAGGACAGUGAUCCAUCUUAUUGAUUAGCCUGUGGUUAAUCACAGCCUUAAGCUGACUCCAGUGCUGUGUUAGAAGUGAGCCCUGCCUGGGAGCUGCCACCUCAUCAAGCAUUAGCUGAUGUUCUCAGCAGAACGUGGUUGGGGUUUUUCUUCCCUGGAAGAAUAGUUGGUAGCUGUGCCUCCUGCUCCUUGGUGUGUCCCCAUGGGGACUAUUGAGCAGCCUCCUUCCCUGGUUAUAAAAUCCAUCAUGUAAUCGCUUAUCCUGAAGAGUGAUCAAAGUUAUUUGUCAGUUUGGUUAUGAAACUGUCCAAUUAUAGAGCGAAGGGGAAAAAAUCUCCCAAACAAACCACCACUUAUGUAACUCUCUCCUUCUCAGCUGGCAGGAGGCUCUGCAGUUGUGGAGCAGGUUCCAGCAGCAGGCACAUCCUCCACCGAGGGCUCAGGCUGAGGGGCCUGGGGGCUGCCAGGGCUGCAGGAGGCUCCCUGGGAGCAGCACAGGGUAGGGAGCAGCAAAUGCUUCAAGGACAGUCCUCGGGGAUGUGUUAACCCAAUUUCUGAGCUCGUCACCAGACACUGAAGCUUUUCCAGCUGGGAAGGUCACGUCCUGCUUUGUAGGUGGGGAGAGACAUUCUGCCUUUGAGGUGGGCACAGCAGCUGCUCGGAAAUGGCACAGCAGUUUGCUUGGGAAAGAAGUUUCUAAAAGAGAAAGAACUUUGAAGGACUGUAAAAAUCAACUGCCAGUCCUCAAAGUUGUCCAGGAGCCUGGGAUGUGCUUGUGAUGGCAGCAAGAGUCCGCUGCUGCUGUUGUGCAGCACUACAGGGCUGAGCAAACACCUCAGGGUGGGGGCAAGAGCACCCAGUAAAUGCCCAGCAAGGCUUUCUAACAGCUCUGGCAUGUGGUUGGUGCUCUCCUUGCCCCAGGGUGUCGUGCCUGGCUGAGCCACCCGUUGUUCCUGGUGGGAUGUGCUGAGAGCAGGGUGGAUGUGGCACACUGGGAUAGCAGGAGGCACCAACCAGGCUGCUCAGCCCGUGCUCACUCCUUUCCCUCCUUGGUUCCAGGCUGACAUCAGGUCCAGGGAGUACCUUCGGAAGCAGCCCUGUGCUCCACUGGAGGUGCUGCAGGCUGUCCCUGCCAGCCCGGAGAGCAGCAAAAAGGAGGCUGAAUUGGAGGAUUAGUCUGGUGCCAUCAGAACGUGCAGAGCUCCUCUUCGCUGGCUCCUCUUCUGCACCAAGGCUGGGUCCUGCUGGAUGCUGGAGCCCAGUGCCCCCCUGAGGGACAGCUGUGCCAGGCUGUGUCCCACAGGACAGCACCAGCCACUGCUCAGGGAGAAUCCGUGCUGUGAAUUUCUCAGGGUUUGUUUCCAAGUACUGUUAAAACCUUUGUGCAAGGAAAGGCUCACGUGGAAGUUUGCAACACCUUGCUGGAGUCCUUGGGCAGCUGAUUUACAGAGAUGCUGAGGCAUUUCCACUGCAGAGCCACCUGUGGCUCUCCCACCACACCUCUGUAGCCAUGGGGACAGUCUCCUACAGCCUGUCACAAGUCCAGGCACAAGUGACAGACUGGGCAGGGGACAGCUCCCUCCUAGACCUCAUGGGCAGAACUCCAGGGAAGUCCAUGUGAGUUUUCUCAUUGCUUUGGCCUGUGCUGGGAGGCCACAGGGUGAUCCCUGUCUCAUCCCAAAUUCUGGGUGACACCACUCCCACUGCAGAUUGGCCCCAGCUGUGCUGAGUGGAGCCCCUAACUCAGCUCAGCUGUGCUGGAGGAGGCUCUGUGGGGUGCAGCUCCUCCAGCAUAGUCCUGGCAGAACAGGGGAACCUUCAGCACGUGGGACUGUCUUCUGCCCUGGGUGAGUGUCUGGGUUUAAUCUCAUGUUUAAUGGCUGUGGUUUUAAUCCCUGAUCUAUUAGUGUCAAUCUGUUGGUGAUAUUGUUUUUAUGCUUCUAGUUGGUAUUUGACAAUGAAAGAUUUGGGGUGGGCUGCUCAGGGGAGGCUCUGCAGCCAAAGCUGUGGUUUGGGUGGAGGCUCAAGGAGCUGAGCCCAGCUCUGAUAGGAACAUGAGGCUGUGGCUGUUCAGGGUCUGUCAGUGGAUGUUCCUGCUGGGAUCUGGGUGUGUUGAUCCAUGGAGGGUCCGUGUGCUCAGCCUGUGAGUGAUCCAGGGCUGGGGACACUGCUGUCUUUGGCUGCCCUGAGCCCCCACCCCCAGCUGCCUCUGCCCAGGGGUUGAGAGAAAAUCAGGUUAAAUAAAAAACAAAACAAUAAAAAAUGGCUUUGCAUCACUGCCCCAGCUUCCCUCUGCGUGAGGCUCUGAGCUCCUCUGGUUCCAAGUCCAGGUGAACUCAGGUGACUCUGGAUAAAUUCACCUGGGGAGGCUUUGGGAGGAGGAUGGUGCUGUGGUGUCCUGGCAGCCCCCGUGCAGCCCUGCUCUGCUCCUGGGGCUGGGGUUUGCCUGUGCUGUGGGAUGCUGGCCCAGCUGCCCAAACACGGGUACUUAAAGAAGGGGGACUAAUCUCUGUGUUUGGUGUCUGCUUGUGGCUCUUUGGACACAAUAAGGGAUUAACUUGGUCUUUAUCUGAUUGGUUUAUAACCCUGGGAAGGGAAAAUCACUUUGUACUGUUUGAAACCUCUUGACAGAAACUCAGAGACUGGAGCUUGAGUGUCCUUUGAAAUAAACUCAUAUGUGGCUAGUCUUUUUAA